rnacentral:rRNA from 1 species
UACGGGGGGAGCAAGCGUUGUUCGGAAUCAUUGGGCGUAAAGGGCGCGUAGGCGGCCGACCAAGUCGGGGUGUGAAAUCCUCGUCGCUCAACCGAGGAACUGCAUUCGAUACUGUUCGGCUAGAGUCCGGGAGGGGAUGGUGGAAUUCCCAGUGUAGCGGUGAAAUGCGUAGAUAUUGGGAAGAACACCGGUGGCGAAGGCGGCCAUCUGGACCGGCACUGACGCUGAGGCGCGAAAGCCAGGGGAGCGAAUGGG